GCGUGAGUGAUGAAGGCCUUAGGGUUGUAAAGCUCUUUCGACGGGGACGAUAAUGACGGUACCCGUAGAAGAAGCCCCGGCUAACUUCGUGCCAGCAGCCGCGGUAAUACGAAGGGGGCUAGCGUUGCUCGGAAUCACUGGGCGUAAAGGGUGCGUAGGCGGAUUUCUAAGUCAGGGGUGAAAGCCUGAGGCUCAACCUCAGAAUUGCCUUUGAUACUGGAAGUCUUGAGACCGGAAGAGGUAAGUGGAACUGCGAGUGUAGAGGUGAAAUUCGU
rnacentral:rRNA from 1 species